CCUACGGGAGGCUGCAGUGAGGAAUAUUGGUCAAUGGACGAGAGUCUGAACCAGCCAAGUAGCGUGAAGGAUGACUGCCCUAUGGGUUGUAAACUUCUUUUAUAAAGGAAUAAAACGAGGCACGUGUGCCUUUUUGCAUGUACUUUAUGAAUAAGGAUCGGCUAACUCCGUGCCAGCAGCCGCGGUAAUACGGAGGAUCCGAGCGUUAUCCGGAUUUAUUGGGUUUAAAGGGAGCGUAGAUGGGUUGUUAAGUCAGUUGUGAAAGUUUGCGGCUCAACCGUAAAAUUGCAAUUGAUACUGGCAUUCUUGAGUACAGUUGAGGUAGGCGGAAUUCGUGGUGUAGCGGUGAAAUGCUUAGAGAUCACGAAGAACCCCGAUUGCGAAGGCAGCUUACUAAACUGUGACUGACAUUGAUGCUCGAAAGUGUGGGUAUCAAACAGGAUUAGAUACCCCAGUAGUC
rnacentral:rRNA from 1 species